GGCAGUGGUAGCUCAAGGGUUAAGACAUUGGGCUUUUGAUCGGAAGGCCAUGAGUUCAAAUCCCUGCACUGCCA